rnacentral:rRNA from 1 species
CCCGCUGAACUUAAGCAUAUCAAUAAGCGGAGGAAAAGAAACUAACAAGGAUUCCCCUAGUAACGGCGAGUGAAGCGGGAAAAGCUCAAAUUUGAAACCUGGCCUCUUUGAGGAAAAUGUCGCAGGGUUGUAGUUUAUAGAGGCGUUUUCGAUGGAAUCCUGGGUAUAAGUCUUUUGGAACAAGGCAUCAUAGAGGGUGAGAAUCCCGUCUUUGACUCAGAGGUUUCCAUUCUGUGAUACGUCUUCAUAGAGUCGAGUUGUUUGGGAAUGCAGCUCAAAAUGGGUGGUAAAUCUCAUCUAAAGCUAAAUAUUGGCGAGAGACCGAUAGCGAACAAGUACCGUGAGGGAAAGAUGAAAAGAACUUUGAAAAGAGAGUUAAACAGUACGUGAAAUUGUUGAAAGGGAAACGUUUGAAAUCAGUCAUUUCUUCUGGAAAUCAGCCUUGCUUUUGCAUGGUGUAUUUUCCAGUGGAAAGGUUAACGUCAAUUUUGGUUGUCGGAUAAAAGCCUUUGGAAUGUGGCUCUCUUCGGGGAGUGUUAUAGCCAAGGUCAAUGCGAUGACUGGGAUUGAGGAUUCGCCGCCAAUGCUCUCUGGGCAGUGGCAUCAUGCGCUCAGGUUAACACUCUGCUAAACAGCUUGCUGACUAGUAGUUUGAAGAUUUGACUCGUGUGGUUCCCACUAAUUGGCGUAGGACGUUAACUUAAUGGUUUUAAACGACCCGUCUUNGAACACGG